UACGUAGGGGGCACGCGUUGUCCGGAUUUACUGGGCGUAAAGAGCGUGUAGGCGGCCAAGCAGGUCCGUUGUGAAAACUGGAGGCUUAACCUCCAGACGUCGACGGAAACCGCGUGGCUAGAGUCCGGAAGAGGAGAGUGGAAUUCCUGGUGUAGCGGUGAAAUGCGCAGAUAUCAGGAAGAACACCAAUGGCGAAGGCAGCUCUCUGGGACGGUACUGACGCUGAGACGCGAAAGCGUGGGGAGCGAACAGG
rnacentral:rRNA from 1 species